UGGGGGAUAUUGCACAAUGGGCGCAAGCCUGAUGCAGCGACGCCGCGUGGGGGAUGAAGGCCUUCGGGUUGUAAACUUCUUUUGCUCUGAACAAGGCGCACUUUGGGGUGUGUUGAGUGUAGGGGUUGAUUAGCGCCGGCUAACUACGUGCCAGCAGCCGCGGUAAUACGUAGGGCGCGAGCGUUGUCCGGAAUUAUUGGGCGUAAAGGGCUUGUAGGUGGCUGGUUGCGUCUGUCGUGAAAGCUCAUGGCUUAACUGUGGGUUUGCGGUGGGUACGGGCUGGCUUGAGUGCAGUAGGGGAGGCUGGAAUUCCUGGUGUAGCGGUGGAAUGUGCAGAUAUCAGGAGGAAUACCGGUGGCGAAGGCGGGGCUCUGGGCUGUUACUGACACUGAGGAGCGAAAGCAUGGGGAGCGAACAGG
rnacentral:rRNA from 1 species